CUUCUUCCGAAUUUCCUCUUGGUAACUGCAUAAUUCUUCACUAACUCUGGCAAGUUCUUUAAGAGCCACAUUGAGAUCACCAAUAUAGCUCUUGGUAUUUUUCUUGGAAGUUUUGAUGCUGAGGCUGUCUUCAAGUUCCUCAUGGUUCUCAAAGGCCAGAUUGUCCAUUAACAGAGUAUCGUUUUUUCUCUCGGCUCUGAUUUCUUUGUGUUUAGGUCCUGUUUUACUCAGCAAACUCCCUCCUUCCAUCUCAUCAUUUACCACGUUGUGUUGAUAGUUCAGGUCCACUGUAUCACUCUUUUCUGAAGUAGGAGAAUGCAUGGACAGCUGCAGCAUCUUGCUGUGAAUAGCCUUAUUGUCAUGGACAUUCAUAUUGUUCUCCCUUCUAAGUUUUACCUCCUGGUAAAGCUCUUCAAUUUUCUUCUGCAUAACUUUCCAUUGACAUUCCCAUUCUUUCCUCUCAUUGUCAAAUUUUUCCAGCAGUUCCAUC
rnacentral:lncRNA from 1 species